rnacentral:rRNA from 1 species
CGACAUGACGAUUUUAGAGGAAGGAGAAGUCGUAACAAGGUUUCUGUAGGUGAACCUGCUGAAGGAUCAUGUGCACACGUGUGUACACUAACCUGCUAAUGAUAUUGUGGGCGGUGUAAGCUUGCAUUACAAUAAUAUUACAUGUGCCCUGGGCUGUGUGACUUGUUUUGCAAACAUUCGUUAUGCAUUGCAUAAACAAGUUUGGUAAACUGAGUGGUGCUGUGUUUGUGUACGAUGAUUAUGUUUUGCAAAGAAUGUUUUAGUUCAAUAAAUGAUGAAGAAUGCAGCAAAAUGCAUUAUGCAUUGUGAAUUGCAGAAUUCCGUGAGCUAACAGAUGUUUGAAUGUUACUUGUGCCUUUGGGAUAUUCUUGAAGGUUUGCUUGGUUCAAUGCCAAGUAUCUUCCAUAUGCAAUACUGCUGUUUAGCAUUGCUGUGAACAAGGAGAGUCAAUGUGUAUUGCAUUGAACAUGGAUGUGUUGCAGCUGCUUUUGCAGCCUAAGCAUGGUUGAUUGGGGGCAAACUUGUUUCGUCAUGUGCUGGUUGCUGUUUUGCAAAAUGUGCACAACUGAGACAAGCUGAAGACUUGCAUAUGCUUAGCAUGAAGUGAAGCACAUACACCUGCUGAGUUUAAGCAUAUAAGUAAGUGGUGGAAAUUAAACCAAU